rnacentral:sRNA from 1 species
AUUCAUCAUUGUUUUGAGUCCAGCUUCGUAUCAUUCAUCACUGUUUUAUAUCAUUUCUCAUCGCUCUUGCAUACUUUGCAUGAUUAGGAUAGCUUUGCAUACAUAUUGCAUUUCUGAGUUGUUUUCAGGUGAUUUGGAGCUGUUUGCGAGCAAAUUGGAAGAAACGAGCCAGAACCAGAAGACAUACUCGACCACCAGGUCAUGUGCAUCCAGCACCAUACUCGACCACCAAGUCGAGUGACUUUGGAGCCAUUCUUCCCAUCUACUUGACCCCCUGGCCGAGUAUCCUCAGCUCAGGUUACUCGAUGAUGCCACUCGACCCCCUGGUCGAGUAUCACUUUGCCAUACCACCUGACCACACUCGGCCAUUCACUCUACCAAGUUACUCGACCCCCUGGUCGAGUAUCAUCACUCACCACCAUCACCAUCACUCGACCGGACACUCGAUCACGUCUUCACAGUUUACUCAAAUCCGCACUCAACCAGAUAAGCUGAGCACAAGGAAGAGAAGAGGAGAAGACAAAGUGUUUGGAAGCGGCCUGGACCUCCAUCGGAUCACGAAGCCCAUCUCGGCCCAUUAUCACUCUAUGGGCCGGGCGAUUAGGUUAUUGGCCCGUCUACUAUCAUUUUAUUUCGUUUUGUAUAAAUAGAUGUCUUAGGGUUCUGUCCUGAGACAUCUAGUCGACAUUGAGUUUUUGCUUCAGUUUUAUUUUCUGUUUUACUCUACUGCGCUGCUUUUGCUUCUGCAACCGGUAAUUCGAGAUUUUUCCAAGUUAUUCCGAUUCCGCAUUUGAUUUCAUCUGUCAUCUUGUUUCUCUACUCCUUAUCUCUUUACUUAUGCAAUAUUAUCAUUUAUCUGCGUUUACGUCCUUGAGCAUGUUGUUUGGGUAGUGACUUAGAAUUCUUAGGGAUGGGAUAGAGUAGUUGUGGAAUCCGUAGUCUGUAGAAUGGUUAAGUUUUAGAAUUGAUUGAAUCCCUUCAGGACUAGUUGCGUUUACUGCUUAUUUCUUUCUGAUCAACUGGAAUUCGAUCCCAAGCAUUCUCGCACCCAGAAGGUGUUCGAUGGAAUGCUUGAUCCACUAGUUCCUGAGAUAUUCGUCUCUAUCCCAAGGGAUUGGCCGUUUAGAGCGUUUAUUGACUUUAUCAGUCUGUUCUUAUUGCCUGCAUAGUUAGAUUUCGUUAAUGGGAAUUAGUCUAGGCUAGCUUUGCUUGAGGAUUUCUAUCACGGGAGUGAAUUGAUCUGUUGUUGAACCUGUUGUCUAGGGAUAGCUUGAUUGCGCUUGUUAACCAUUUGAAUAUGCUAGGAUACCACUCUACUUGAUUACCCCAUCCUUAAGAAUUUCUCGUCUAUAUUAUUUCUCUGUUUUAUCGUUAUCGCUUAAUCGUUCUCAUUGCCUGUUUCUUAGUUUUUGCAAUUACUCGACCAACUUACUCAACCACACCCAGUGUCUGGCAACAGACUGUGCAGUCAAGUACAGUUGUCUCAUUUCCUGUCUGUUACUCGACCAGUAUACUCGACCACACCCAGUGUCUGGCAACAGACUGUGCAGUCGAGUAUAUCUGUUUCACAUCCUGCCUGUUACUCGACCACAUCCUACUUCUGGCAUCAGCCUGUUGUGGUCGAGUGAUUUUAGUGAUUCUGUUAUUGUUUCUGUUUUCUGCAUGUUCGCUUAGGACUGUUAGAAACCCCAAAACUGUUAUUGCUUGGCUUGACUUAGUGACUUCUGAUCACAUCUCAUCUGUUUGCAUCACACUCAUUUGGAUUGACAACCUUCAGUACUACAACGACAUGAUAGUGCUUUAGGUUCAAUUGACU